rnacentral:piRNA from 1 species
UCCGNAUGUAUGUCUGUGUGCUAAAGUGG